AUUGAACGCUGGCGGCAGGCCUAACACAUGCAAGUCGAACGAGUGGCGGACGGGUGAGUAAUGUCUGGGAAACUGCCUGAUGGAGGGGGAUAACUACUGGAAACGGUAGCUAAUACCGCAUACCAUCAGAUGAUCCCAUAUGGGAUUAGCUUGUGGGGGGGGUAACGGCUCACCAAGGCGACGAUCCCUAGCUGGUCUGAGAGGAUGACCAGCCACACUGGGACUGAUACACGGCCCAGACUCCUACGGGAGGCAGCAUUGGGGAAUAUUGGACAAUGGGCGAAAGCCUGAUCCAGCCAUGCCGCGUGUGUGAAGAAGGUCUUCGGAUUGUAAAGCACUUUAAGUUGGGAGGCGUUACCAACAGAAUAAGCACCGGCUAACUUCGUGCCAGCAGCCGCGGUAAUAC
rnacentral:rRNA from 1 species